rnacentral:rRNA from 1 species
UGGCGGCAUGCCUUACACAUGCAAGUCGAACGGCAGCACGGGGGCAACCCUGGUGGCGAGUGGCGAACGGGUGAGUAAAAUAUCGGAACGUGCCCUAGAGUGGGGGAUAACGUAGCGAAAGUUACGCUAAUACCGCAUACGAUCUAAGGAUGAAAGCGGGGGAUCGCAAGACCUCGCGCUCAUGGAGCGGCCGAUAUCUGAUUAGCUAGUUGGUAGGGUAAAAGCCUACCAAGGCGACGAUCAGUAGCUGGUCUGAGAGGACGACCAGCCACACUGGGACUGAGACACGGCCCAGACUCCUACGGGAGGCAGCAGUGGGGAAUUUUGGACAAUGGGCGCAAGCCUGAUCCAGCAAUGCCGCGUGAGUGAAGAAGGCCUUCGGGUUGUAAAGCUCUUUUGUCAGGGAAGAAACGGUCUUGGUUAAUACCUGGGGCUAAUGACGGUACCUGAAGAAUAAGCACCGGCUAACUACGUGCCAGCAGCCGCGGUAAUACGUAGGGUGCAAGCGUUAAUCGGAAUUACUGGGCGUAAAGCGUGCGCAGGCGGUUAUGUAAGACAGGUGUGAAAUCCCCGGGCUUAACCUGGGAAUUGCAUUUGUGACUGCAAGGCUAGAGUUUGGCAGAGGGGGGUAGAAUUCCACGUGUAGCAGCGAAAUGCGUAGAUAUGUGGAGGAAUACCGAUGGCGAAGGCAGCCCCCUGGGUCAAG